UGGGGAGUUUUGGACAAUGGGCGCAAGCCUGAUCCAGCCAUGCCGCGUGUCUGAAGAAGGCCUUCGGGUUGUAAAGGACUUUUGUCAGGGAAGAAAAGGCUGUUGCUAAUAUCGACAGCUGAUGACGGUACCUGAAGAAUAAGCACCGGCUAACUACGUGCCAGCAGCCGCGGUAAUACGUAGGGUGCGAGCGUUAAUCGGAAUUACUGGGCGUAAAGCGAGCGCAGACGGUUACUUAAGCAGGAUGUGAAAUCCCCGGGCUCAACCUGGGAACUGCGUUCUGAACUGGGUGACUAGAGUGUGUCAGAGGGAGGUAGAAUUCCACGUGUAGCAGUGAAAUGCGUAGAGAUGUGGAGGAAUACCGAUGGCGAAGGCAGCCUCCUGGGAUAACACUGACGUUCAUGCUCGAAAGCGUGGGUAGCAAACAGGAUUAGAUACCCUGGUAGUCCACGCCCUAAACGAUGUCAAUUAGCCGUUGGGCAACUUGAUUGCUUAGUAGCGUAGCUAACGCGUGAAAUUGACCGCCUGGGGAGUACGGUCGCAAGAUUA
rnacentral:rRNA from 1 species